ACGGGAAACAGGCGCGACUAUCGGCAUAAUGGCGCAGAUGCGAAACUGCGCCCCCGCAGGACGGCCGAAAUAGUAUUAUUAUUCGUUUAUUAUUCUUUGAUAACCCGCAGCGGUUUGAUACACACGCGCAGCAACAAUACAAUAUUAUACGCGACCAUCGCAAUUCCGUAUUUCACGCGGCCUCGCCACCGACUGCUGCAGAUUGUCCGCAGCCAGCCGACUCGCUACUCGCCGCCGCCGCCGAACGAUAAAACGUCUCCGCCGCCACCGACGUGCCGCAUUAUAGACCGUUGUAACUAGCACACGGUAAUAAAUACACACCGUCGUUGCAGUACUGUCACUGGACCGUUAGCCAUGCCGGGUAUUGUUUCCAAGUCCCAUAGAGCGGCCGAGGACAAAAACGUCGUCACUCAUGUGUUCCGCAGAGUAAGGAUUUCAUUGGCACGAGAACCAUCUAACCUCUCCAAUGAGGAGGUCAUGCAUCAUCCCGAAAUGUAUAGAUUAAUGACUUUCCUUGAGAGUAUGCCAGUAGAAGAGCGAAUUCUUGAGUUUUCUGCACUAACUCCCGAAGAAGAGCAAGAAUACCUAGCAGAAAAUGGAAUUCGUGAAACUGAAGAAGCUCGUAGAGUCCGCGAAACAGAAGAAGAUCGCAAGAAUUACAUGAACCGGUUCUUUCGUUAAGAUAUUAAAUCAUAAAAAUUCCAGCAACGUACCUUCAUACCUACUUACCCAGGAGUUAUCUACUUCAUGAAUCAUAACUGUAUUUUUGUUAUAUUAAUUAGAUACCUAAAUAUUAUAGUAUAAACGCCAUUAUCAGGUAAUAAUUAUUAACGAUAUUGUAUUAUAUUCGUACUUUUUUUUCAUCAACUAUAACUUAUAUAACCAAUAUAAAAUACGAUUGCAUACAUAGGAUAUAUAGACAUGCAAUGUUCUAUGUACUGAGCAGAUAUUCCGGGAAGUAGGAACAAUACUCAAGUAUAAUAUGUUAUCAAUUUACACCACUUAUCUCACAACAAUUUCUAACAUAUUUAACAAACGUUAAGAACGAUCACGAAUUUAGUAUAAUAUCUUAUCUAACCUUACCAAUACUAUUUAUUUGAAAUUUUAUUAAAAAUAUAUAAUAUUAUAUAGCAGACAUGGCAAUGCGUUGAUUGCGUUGCUAUUUCUAGGUUUUUCUGAUUAUGCGAACAGUAUAUCAUCACUCAUCAAGUAGGCAAUCUGUGGUAGAUCACGGACCCCACGUGGUGCGUACAUAAGUGUAUAAAUUAACUCUAAAGUAUCAAAAAAUGCAAAAAAAUUGGUUCACCAAAACUGUGGUUCAAACUUGAUACACUCUGUACUAAAAUACACAGGCUUUUCGCAUUAAUAAUAAUAAUCUCAAAAUCCCUGUUUGAGAACCUCCACUGGUUGGACCUCUUAUUUACUUGUUUUUCGACAAAAUGUAGCCUAUAUUCUUCCACGAGGUCUAAUCUAUCUCUGUAGUCUGUACCAAAUGUCAUUUCAAUUGGUUUAGGAAUACAUAAAGGACACUUGUAGUCGGGUACAAACAUUUUUGUCUUUUAUAUAUUAUGUGGAUAGCUAGAUAAAGAUAAUAGAUAUCUUUUAAAUAAUACAAUAAGUAAUCUUGAUAACAAGUGUUUUUUAAUAUGAGUUCACAUAAGAGAAAAUAUCCACUGAUAUACCAGAGUUAAAGUGUUUGAACCAUUUUUCUUAUUUUUAGUAAUUUCAUGUAGUGCUAUUUUUAUUUUUAUUUUUUUAUUUGAUUAUGCCAUUUUCAUUCUAUAGGAGCAUGCAAAUUGGUUGAGAUACAUCCAACGUAUUAAUCAUUUUUUAUAAUCAACUUGUUAAUACCAGUCGUUAGAAGCGAGAUUAAUGUGUUCAUAGGAGAUUUUGGGUUGUCAAGAAAGGAAACUAGAUUUUGUGAAAUUUCAUUAUUUUUAGCUGUUUGUACAUAUGAUUUAUUUGAAUGGUUUAUAUUACUUGAACUAGGAUUUUGACUGUUGAAAUUAGACGUUGGUUUAUUGGUUUGAGGUGAUGGUUGUUGUCGAGUGAUGGAUUUGCUUUUUUGCUGUGGAUAUUUGAUCACUAAAGUUCUUUAUAUUUAGGACAUCCCCUGAAGACGAUGGAUGAUGUUGAGGUUUUUUUAAAGUUUUAAAUUAAAUGUUCAUUACCACAUUUAACACAUUUGAGAGAAUGGUUGCAGUAUUUUUUAGUGUGGCCAUAAUUUUGACAUGAGGUUCCUCUACUUUUAUUUUUGUGUAAAAUACUAACAUAUAAAGAAUAUUAAUGUUGAAUAUGUCAAAAUUAUUGAAUGUAAGUUCUAGGUCUACAAAGAAAAGUUGUAAUUUUUGUUUGGUUCGGUUUUGGAGUACAUUGUUUAUUUUUCUAUAACUAUGAAAGUAUGACAUCAAGAACAUUUAGUUCAUCUUUUAUGUUUUGUAUUUCGGUAGAGUUAUGUAGGUGCCUGACAACGACUCUGAACGCUCUUUCAUGUUUAAGUUGAUAUGUAUGAUAUUGAGCUUUACAUUCUUGUAGGAAUUUGAUAUAAUUACCAUGUAAUCUGUAUGCAUUUGACAUAUUGGUGGUUAGUUUUAUACCAUUUAUUGAUCUUUUAUAUAUAAAUUUAUCAUCAUUGCUGAGUAACUCUUUGAUUUUAUUACAAAGUAGGUUGAAGUUACUUAUAUUUUUAAUAAAUAUUGGUGGAGACCGAUACUGAUAGAGCCUCCAAUUAUCAUUUGUUGAGUUGGGAUGUAGUGGUUGGCAAAUUAAUAUUACUAUUUGGCACGCUCUGUACUCUUAAUUUUUGAAUUAUCAGUGGAGGUAAUAAUGGCGUUUCACUAGGCACUGCUCUAAAGCGAUAAGAUUAUUAUGAAUAACUUUGGAAUUCUAAUAUAACAACGGUUUGGGUAACAGCACUACGUGGUCCAACACCCCAGUUAUAUUUAAUUAAAAUAGUUUGAAUUUCGAAUACGGUGUAAUGGUAAUCGCUGUUUUUAUAAUGUAAAGACGGUUUUUUUUGUUUUGAAAUGAAGAAAAAUUAUUGUGACUAACUUAUAAUAGAACGCAUUAUACGGAGAGCGAUGUAUGUAAGAUGUGGCGCGCACGGCUGUCAUCGCGAGACUAUAAUAAGAGGUACUUAUUUAAAAAAUUUUUAAUUAAUAAUUACAAAGGAAUGUAUUUUUAAUUUUGUAUUAACUUAAGUUAAUAUUAACAUAAAACGUAUUAACUUUAUCGUAAGCAAAAUAACAAACGUUAGAAUUUUAGUACAUUUUUUUGAGAAAUUUUAAAUUCAAUUAAAAUAUAAUUCGAUAGUCACCGAUAAAAGUUAAGUUGUAUAAUGGCCAAUGGGUUAAUCGGCAAUUAUUCAUAAUUUUCUAGAAAUUUAGGUAUCUAGUCCGGUGGCGGUUUUGGUAGUAUUUGUAGGUGAGGCGACUUAUGUAUCAGUCCCCACCUCCAUAACAAAAGUCUAUCAGUAACCAGAGUAAUUAAUGUUAAAUAAAAAGCAUGGAAGCACGCAUAAACCAAUUUAAACGAACCAUCACAACGAUUCGAACAUAACAGAAAUAUAAAUCAAUAUUACAACGGUUUAAUUAAGGAUGUCCCGGCUGUAACACAAUUAAUAACAACUGAUUAUGUGUUUUGAUGAUGAACUGCGGGCUAUCUGACGUCAUCGAAAAACUGUUGCCGGCUGAAAUACCAUCGUUUAUUUACGUAAUAAUUAUUUCGAACAUUUUUUUAUCAGUUAGUCGCUGUUUUUGGUAAUAAACACUAAAUUAUUUAAAAUAUAAUAAAUUAAUAAAUGAUAAUUCAUAAUUCAUGUUUUUAAACUUCGUAAAGGAUUAAUUAUCCAAAACUGACUUAUCUGUAUCGUAUUCGUAUAUAUACCGUAUUAAUAUACCUACCAAUUAUAUCAUUAUUCAUUAAUUUAUAAUUUUUGUUUAAAUUCCAAUCUGCAAAUAAUCCAAUACACAAAAGUUUUUAUCUUCUAUAAGAACAAUGAGCAUACAUAUUUCACAAAAUAAUAUUUACUCGCUAUAAUAUUAUAAUAAUUGUAAAAUUCGAUAAGAAUUUGUACAUUUUUCCACCUACUACGUGACCCGUCGCACGAUUCAUUACCUCUCCCUUCUUAGGCUCGUUUUUGUUAACAAUAAAAUGGUCGUUUAAUUGUAUUUAGUAUUACCUACAUAUUACAAGUUGUAAUAUCCCGAUUUAAAAAAAAAUAAAUGAACGAUAUAGGUACCUACGUCGUUAUUUUAAAAAGUAAGUGUUUUAAUUAAAUGCUCUAUUCAAAAAUAAAUAAUAAAUAUUAUUCAUGAUAAUAUAUUGUUCUAUAAUAUAGGUAGCAUGUACAAGAAAGAAUUGAAAAGUCUAUAAUAUGUAGGAUGUAAAUAUCUGUAAAGUAUAAAGAAACAUUUUUACACAUAACUACCUAUAUAGUUUUAUUUCAAUAUAAUAUUAUAUAGGUAGUAAUUAUAAUUACCUACUA